rnacentral:lncRNA from 1 species
CUGACUUUGGUACCCACCUACAAAGAGAAGAUGAAGGAGCUCCCCCUGGUGUCCCUGUUCUGCUCCUGCUUCCUGGCCGAUCCCCUGAAUAAGUCAUCCUAUAAAUAUGAAGGCUGGUGUGGGCGACAGUGUAGGAGGAAAGAUGAAAGCCAGCGGAGGGACAGUGCUGACUGGAGAGAAAGAAGAGAGCAGGCGGACACGGUGGACCUGAACUGGUGUGUAAUUUCUGACAUGGAAGUCAUUGAGCUGAAUAAAUGCACCUCAGGCCAGUCCUUUGAAGUCAUCCUGAAGCCGCCCUCCUUUGAUGGGGUGCCCGAGUUCAAUGCCUCCCUACCCAGACGGCGAGACCCAUCACUGGAAGAAAUCCAGAAGAAACUGGAAGCAGCUGAGGAGCGAAGGAAGUACCAGGAAGCUGAGCUCCUGAAGCACCUGGCAGAGAAACGAGAACAUGAAAGGGAGGUGAUCCAAAAAGCCAUUGAGGAGAACAACAACUUCAUCAAGAUGGCUAAGGAAAAACUGGCCCAGAAGAUGGAAUCCAAUAAGGAGAACCGGGAGGCCCACCUUGCUGCCAUGUUGGAACGGCUGCAAGAGAAGGCGCCGCCUGCUGCGCGGUGACUCCCAGGACCCGAUCGGUGGCCUCGUCCCAUGGACAAGCACGCAGAGGAGGUGCGGAAAAACAAGGAGCUGAAGGAAGAGGCCUCCAGGUAAAGCCCAGAGGCACAGAGGUUUCCAGAAUGCCGGACCGCUCCAGCAGCUCCGCAGUUCCUGAGGCAGCCUCGCCCACCGCUGGCUGCUCUCCCAGCACUGGGGUUUGGGGGGAGGGGGGUGGCCAGGGGCGUUUCCUCUGCUUUUGGUGUUUGUACAUGUAAAGAAUUGACCAGUGAAGCCAUCCUAUUUGUUUCAGGGGAACAAUGAUGGGGUGGGAGAGGGGAGAGGAGAGAGGUUGGGAAAGGGAGAUGGAAGAGGACUCAUGGACAUUGCAACCCAGCCUGGGUCACGUCCUCGGGCUUUUCUUCACAGUGAGCAUCCGGGCACCGCCUUGAGGGAAGUUAAAAACAGGCAGUAGAACUCUGAGGGUAAGGCAGAGCCCUGGGUGGAGCGAGAACUGCAGGGCGUGGCCUGAGACGCCAGCAGGGAGUGGGGCCCUCCACCUGAGGCAGUGGGAUGAGGUCUGAGUGUGUGUGUGUGUUAACCAUUAUCUUUUGAUCAUCAUGACCAAUAAUGAAACAUUUACUCC